UCUCACUCCAUUGUCGCCGAACCCUAGCCCUCUGAAGCAAAGGAACCCCGAACCCCAGCCCUCCAUCGUCGCCGCUGUUCUGAGGUCGUCAGCGAUGCCGCCGUCCACAAGUCCUCAGCACACCCGCUUCUUCCUCUUCCCCGUGUCCGGAACCCAGUAACUAGGCAGGUCCUCUUCGUCUUCGCUGGCUUCUCGAACCCAGAUUCUGUUUAUGGCUUGCUCAGCAAGAAGAAUCUGUUGCUAGGAGAGCUCUCUUACAACAGAUGAAUGCAACACUGCCAAAGAUUAAACCGAAAAGGUCAUCUUGCAAGGUUCAGGUUCAUGUUCAGCUAGCAUAAUACCACAGAAUUAUCAACAUUUUCUAACUGAACUAGCUCAACAUUCUUUUGAAAUUGAUAAUCCUUUGUCUCCUGACAUUUCUAAAUUAGAAUUUGAGGUGUUAAGUGAUCCUAUUAACCCUCAAAGUCAAAAUUUAAUAUUUAGAUAUUUCUUUUUACUAUUUAACUUUUGAGUUUGUAUUUUGAUAAGAUCAUAUGAAUUGGGUUGAUGAUUUUGUGUAGUGUUUUAAAUUUGGAAGAUAUUUUAGGAUGUUUAUUUAUAAUUUAUUUAUUAUUUUUAUUCUAAAACGAUUUUUCCGGUUGAACCAUUGGUUAGACCGGUUGGACCAGUGAACCAGUGAACCAAUGACUAUAGCGGUUUAAUGACCGGUCCAGUUUUCAGAACCUUGCUU